rnacentral:lncRNA from 1 species
GGGAGGGGUUGUUACCUUGGAGACACGUGAUGGGGGGAGGGGUUGGUUACCUUGGAGACACGUGAUGGGGGGUGGUUACCUUGGAGACACGUGAUGUGGGGGGAGGAGUUGGUUACCUUGGAGAUGAAGAUGGUGUUGAUCUUGGGGUUGUGUUUAAAGUUCUGCAGGAUCUGCAUCCUCUCUCCCUGAGAGGCGAGACAGGUUAGAUAUGGGGCCUGAGAGGAGAGACAGGUUAGAUAUGGGGUCUGAGAGGAGAGACAGGUUAGAUAUGGGGCCUGAGAGGAGAGAGAGACGUUAGAUAUGGGGCCUGAGAGGAGAGACAGGUUAGAUAUGGGGCCUGAGAGGAGAGACAGGUUAGAUAUGGGGCCUGAGCGGAGAGACAGGUUAGAUAUGGGGCCUGAGAGGAGAGAGAGACGUUAGAUAUGGGGCCUGAGGUACGAGGUAAUAACAUGGCUAUAUACACAUGGUACCAGUACUGAGUCAAUGUGCUGAGGUAUGACGUAAUAACAUGGAUAUAUACACAUGGUACCAGUACUGAGGUACGAGGUAAUAACAUGGCUAUAUACACAUGGUACCAGUACUGAGGUACGAGGUAAUAACAUGGCUAUAUACACAUGGUACCA